rfam:Clostridium acetobutylicum ATCC 824, complete genome.
GGCGCUAUAGCCAAGUGGUAAGGCAGAGGUCUGCAAAACCUUUAUCCCCAGUUCAAAUCUGGGUGGCGCCU